rnacentral:rRNA from 1 species
UUGAGCUUGAAUCCUGGCUCAGAUUGAACGCUGGCGGCAGGCCUAACACAUGCAAGUCGAGCGGCAGCACGAGAAAGCUUGCUUUCUUGGUGGCGAGCGGCGGACGGGUGAGUAACACAUGGGAAUCUGCCCGAUAGUGGGGGACAACGUUUCGAAAGGAACGCUAAUACCGCAUACGUCCUACGGGAGAAAGCAGGCUUAGGCUUGCGCUAUCGGAUGAGCCCAUGUCGGAUUAGCUUGUUGGUGAGGUAAUGGCUCACCAAGGCGACGAUCCGUAACUGGUCUGAGAGGAUGAUCAGUCACACCGGAACUGAGACACGGUCCGGACUCCUACGGGAGGCAGCAGUGGGGAAUAUUGGACAAUGGGGGCAACCCUGAUCCAGCCAUGCCGCGUGUGUGAAGAAGGCCUUCGGGUUGUAAAGCACUUUCAGCGAGGAGGAAAGCAGUAAGGUUAAUACCCUUAUUGUGUGACGUACUCGCGAAGAGACCGACU